GGUGGGGUGGGGAAAGAGAGUUUUAGUUCUGUAAUAAGACUGCAGAUCUUUUUGCUGUAGUACGAUUUCAAUCGCUGAAAGGAAUGCCAAUAGAUCAGACUCAUCACCUUGUUGGUAUCCAUUAUAGACACAUUUCCCUCUAUACUGUCAAGCAAGGAAUACUUUGUUGGACUCUUCUGAAACAGCAGCAUUUCAGAUAAGAAUGCUCGGAAGUCAGUCUCGUGGGUUUCAGUAGCGCUUUCCCAUAAUAUACGCUUGAGAUUACAGGAUCUUUUGGAUGUUCCACUGAAAUCACCAGUUUCUCGUGUGUAGGAUCGGGGCACAAAGUUGGUGGUGGAUUGUUUUCUCAGGGGAGAACCUCUUAACAUAGUACAGCCUCCUCCAUCAAUGUAUUACAAAAUAACCCUUCUCUUUAAAUAAUUCAGUUUCGAUUGUUGGGUUAGUUUUUUUGUUUCUGAGUGUUACGGGGCGAGGGGUUGAUGGGAGACGGCAGUAGCGUUCGAUGGCCAAAAAUGUUAUUGACUAACCAUAUUUCAUCCCUUUGGCAAAGAUGGGCGUGUGGGGGGAAAUCUCCUGCAGGGUGUGGGGACGAAGAACAAGGAAGGAGACUGUAUGCUGCUAACCCCGGUCAGCUGCCCAGUUUCAGACAACCUAUGGAGGAGAUCACUAUUAUCCGCUUAAUAUUUAUCAAUGACGUCUGGGCCGAAUCUGAUGCAUUUGGGAAGUUUGAACCUCUAAAGGGCCGAACUGGGUCGUAGCAAUUUCUUACAUGCAAACGAGGAGGAAGAGAAACCAAGUGCCGGUGAGAUUUCAGGAGCGUGUCUUGACACCACCAGCGGCCCCCUGCGCGCAAAAGAAGUUUUACGACUUGCGCAACAACUUCCAUUUGCAACUCCACCAACAUCAGGAACCUUCAUCAAUCUCUCCUCCUCCCCUCCCCGAUUCCGCUUAAGGUUCAGUUAAAGCAAUUAUAAAAAUGUGAAAACCAAAGCGAGCUAGCAUUGUAACUUCUUCCAUAUGUCUUUCAAGGCGCCUGGGAAUGGAGGUGUCUUGAGGAGCAAAAAGAUCGGUUUUCUGCGUCUCCUGUUUAAACAGGUUUGGCCGUUUUCAUUUUCUUUUUAUCAAAAAGUGCUGCGGGUAGAAACGGCAAGCCAAACCAAGUGUUUUCACGGUAGGUUUCGAAUUGGCGCGGUACCACAGAAUUUCUAGUCUGAGAAGAACCGGAGAGUCAACAGGUCCGGACCCCUGGCCCAGGAGAGAGUCCUCCGCUCAUCCGUUUUAUCUGUCCUUCCUCGCAAUUUAUGAUAUGCUUCCCUAUAGAGGUCUAUAAUAUGCAUCCGAUGAAGUGAAUUCAUGUUGACGAAAGCUUGUGUUGUUAUAUAUUUGUGAGUCUUUAAGGUGUCUGUCAUAAGAUGCUUGUUGCAGUAUUUCUAAGUUUUUCUAAAACAGUGGUUCUCAAAUGGUUCCUUGAAAGAAGUUAAAGAGUGUAAGAGAAAGAACGCGAUUUUGGCCUAGUAGUGGCGUGGGAAUGUUCCGAAGGAAGGUAGAGAUGGCUCUCUAUAUACACAUCGGUUUGCAACAAAGUUUGGGAACACACUGUCCAAAACUGCAAUGGCCUAUUUGUCCACUAGGCGGCGGCAAUACAGGUCUCUCUUCUUUCUAUUGUCUCCAUAAAGCUCUUGGUCUAUUACAUUUAUGACGAGCUAUGGAAGACAUACUUUUAAUGAUCUUUUGCUAAUAGUUGGCGUCGUGCUAGUAACGAAGCAGCAACGUGCUAUUGUUUUUUAAUAAGUGCUUCACGGUCUCUGUAGCUUUUGAAGAAAUUCUGGUAAGGCAACUUUCCCAAAAGAGAAAACAGAACCAGACCUAGUAAAUAAGACAGAGGCUUAGGAUCCAACCCACCAGGAAAUUAUCCUGAUCAAGCCGCAUUCUAAUUAAUGUACUCCUACCGUGCUGUUGUGCAGCUUUCAUUCAUUUCAAUGGGGCUUAUACAGGAGAAGAACUUUCAGGAGGAUUGAGCCCUUCUAAGGCUGAAAGAGUUGAUCGAGUGUUUUGCUGAAUCCGAACUGAAACAAAUCUGUCCUAACCACCCUUGCAACCCGAUGUGGUAGCAAAUCACAGUUCCUACAGGGGAACUUAUCUUCUAGUCCAAACAACCAAGAGUCUUGUGGCACUUUAAAGACUAACAGAUUUUAACAUACACUUCCAAGGACUGAAGUCCACACUUCACCAGAUGCAUGAAAUGUUAUCCUCAUUUGGUGGUGGUAGCUGUGUGUGCACGCAUGUGUGUGCGCACAAAUAAAAUUGUAAUCAGUGAGGUCAAAUGGCGAUGAAAUACAAAUACGUUUACUCUCUAGUAAAUGUGGGCAGGAUUGAAGCGUAAAGGGGCUAUUGGAUGCCCAUCCACAGUCAAAACCUGAAGUCUAAAAAGUCGGUUUCAUACAGUUUGAGUCUGUUCUGAUUGCUAACUAGACUGACUAAUGAGGGGCAGAGGAUGUCCCUUACCAGGGGCAGGUGGAGAUCCCUUUGUGGGUAUCUGUUCUUCGUAGUGACACAUUGUGAUCUGGUGAUGAAACAAUGAUCCUAUCCUGAAGUGGCUCAGCUAGAUGGUCUUUUUAUGACGCCCCUCAACACUAAUGCUACAUGUUUCUAACUCAGAAGAAUCCACAGGCAACUAAAUGAAGAAACAAGAGGAAACCGUGCCUAAAUCUGGGCAGUUCCUUUGUAUCUCCUCUUUGCCAGGUUUUUAAUUAAAAAGAAAGAAGCAAACCCAACCAUAACUUUUUUUUUAAAAAAGAGCUGUACUCAGAAUUGAGUUAUCCCCAGUUCAUUUGCGGUGUGCACUUUUAGUUUUGCAAUCUAAAGGCUGUCUCCCUCGGGAAUAAAAGUCUGGCCACACCAGAUUCUGGAUCCGGAUUCCAGAUCUCGAAUAUAGAGGAACGCAAACUGAUAGGAUACCGUGUUCAAAGGUCUCUGCUCUUUCUAACACUGUUUCUCUUUGUCCCCGACUGGCAGACUUAGGGAAUGAAAGGGAGCUUUCUGCCCUCCCGUUGCCUCAUGUCGCUGUUAACAUCCCUCGAUCGGUUCCUCGCUGACAGUAGGCGAAUUAUGAAGAUGCUUCUUCCGUUUCCGACUUUCAAAACCUGCCGGGUGGAGCGACAGAGCAAGUAACUGUUUGCGCCCAGACGACGAACGCAUCCAGCUGAAGCGCCAUUCCAGCCAACAGGACGCAUUAAGGAGGGUGUAUCAAAUUCAGUUCCACGAUGCCCUUAGAGCAGGUAGUUGUUUGGGUCUUGGCAAGGGAAGAAUGAAAUUGAUGUAGUAGACUCUCUUUGCAAUAUUGCAGUGGAGUCAAUAAGUGUGUUUGACAGAAAUAACUAGGCCUGGCUUCUUGCCCUGCAAACAGCCCAGCUUGGGGAGAAAUUUCCUUUGAUGCGGGGCAUAGAUCAGAGAGGAAAGUGGAUGCACAUAUAUUGUCUGGAACUCCUACAAUGUUCUACUGAACUCUGUGCCGAAUAUGGGCGAAGCCUACCCCGCACCCCCCAACUCCAUAAUAUGUUGCUGGAAGUCUGUACCUCCCUCUUUGACGUUAGACGGCGAGGGGAGGGGAGAAGGAGAUGGAUGGAUGGAAAUCUAGACCAUCUGUAGAGGUGCCACUCAAAAAAAGAAAAAAAAGGAAAGGGAAAAGGAGGUGGAGUGGGGGAAGGAGGGAGGAUUCUUUCUCCAAUGUUAAUUAACAAGCAACUAAUUAAAACGGCACUUUGAGCGCUAAUCAAUCGCUUUAUUAAGCCGGGAGUAGUAACUGGAACAAAUUGAAUGCUACCAGUUAGCGUAUCAUGCUAUUGAGCUGCAAGGGUCGAUGAAAGGACGAGGGACUGGAGGGUGAGCCGAUCGAUCCUCGCCCCAUUGGUGUUGACCGAGGUCAGCCAGAUACAUCGAGGUGGGCAGGACCUCUCUCCUGACUCCUUCACCUCUCCUUCUUGGUAGUCGGGGAAGCGUCAGAGAGCAGCGUAGCUUGCACACUGGGAUUCUCAUCCAAAGCCUAGUCCUCCUCCCAGCGCGCUAACUCCCAACCCAACCGGCACGAAACCGAAGGCGGUGGCCACAUUGAUUUCGAGUCGACGAGAUCAAGAGUGUGAAGGACAAAUCAUCGUCCGAUUAACAAUAAGGGGAGUUCCUGAUCGACCGAACUCAAGCAGAGUUUUAUCAUCGAUUUUAAAUGGGAUCGCGAAGAACAAUAAUCCUGGACCUCGAGGAGGAAAAAGAAGGACCCCAACGGAAACUGAAACAUAUCACCACCCCUGUCAGUCACACAACUCAUGACGAUCAGCGUUUCUGCUGCGAAGCAUUGAAGAUGGGGAAACCUCCGACUGACUCCGGCUCUCGAAACAGCUACUGAGCCCCCAGACCUUCCCAGUCUCUUUCCUUCGGUUUUGUCUACACACCGCUACAGACCCGUGGGAAGGCUGCUGGAAAUGGGCGGGACUAGUAGGAGAAAGAGAAACACUUUUCAGGUCCCAUUGCGCUGAUCUGAUUUGUCUCUGGUGAA